GCCGAAACUUCCGCCGCCGCGUCCGCCGCCUCCGGAACUAAACGGGGUGAGGUCACAUUCGGUUAUCUCUAACGUUGGAAAACGGUGGGUAGCUUUCCAGUUGCCGUUAAUUUAGAAAAUAAGCAAAACGUGUUGAAAAAAUAAAACCCUGCCAGGUAUAUAUUUUAAAACCCAUCCUUUGAAAACAAUGUUAAGUUCACAGAACUCUUAAGAAUCAUUUUGGGCCAAAUUCAUGAGAAAGUGAGAUUGCGGUUGCGUACUCCUUUUUCUGUACUCUACCCUCUCUCCUCCCUUCCUCUCAUUCUCUGGCAUCUUCUUGGGGUUUAGAUAAGCCUUGCUAUCUGGAAUAUUGAAUAAAAGAAACUGGGAUAACUUUUCAUUUUAAAAUUUACCUUCCCUCUCCUUCUAGCAGGCUGCGGUAGCUCGAAUCUGUUGCAACUGUUCUUCCAGAGCGGAUAUCUGGGCCUGAAUCUGUGAGAGCUGCACACAGUAGCGACCUUCUGUUUCUGCCAAGGAGGCUUCCAGGGAUUGUUUCUGAAACGGAUUUUUUUGUGGCUUAGUGACUUCCUUGUUCAGUUGAGUAUGGUGACGCUUAUUUGAUUAUUUAGUAAGGCAUUAUAUAGAAGAAUAAGAAAAUGAACAGAAUUUGUUGUAUGUUUAAUGGCACCAUUUCAGUUUCAGCACUUUUAGAUCAACACUAGUAGUACUUUUCCUCCAUUAACAUGAGCUUCACUUUGUUUUCUCUUUCUUACCUCCAACUCUGCAUUUUUUUGUUGCAUUGCAUAUUCUUAGGUGAGCAUGAAACUUUGUAUGAUAAAGUUGAAGUCAUUUCAUGAGAGUUAACAUACCAAG
rnacentral:lncRNA from 1 species